ACGUCCAAGGAUGGGCAACU
rnacentral:piRNA from 1 species